rnacentral:rRNA from 1 species
AUUUCCUCAGUAACGGCGAGUGAAGCGGUAACAGCUCAAAUUUGAAAUCUGGCCUCACGGUCCGAGUUGUAAUUUGUAGAGGAUGCUUCGAGCAUGGUCUGGCCUAAGUUCCUUGGAACAGGACGUCAUAGAGGGUGAGAAUCCCGUAUGCGGCCAGGUGCCUACGCUCAUGUGAAGCUCCUUCGACGAGUCGAGUUGUUUGGGAAUGCAGCUCAAAAUGGGUGGUAAAUUUCAUCUAAAGCUAAAUAUUGGCCAGAGACCGAUAGCGCACAAGUAGAGUGAUCGAAAGAUGAAAAGCACUUUGGAAAGAGAGUUAAACAGUACGUGAAAUUGUUGAAAGGGAAGCGCUUGCAACCAGACUUGCGCGCGGCCGAUCAUCCGGUGUUCUCACCGGUGCACUCGGCCGUGCUCAGGCCAGCAUCGGUUUUGGCGGCUGGAUAAAGGCCCUAGGAAUGUGGCUCCUCUCGGGGAGUGUUAUAGCCUAGGGUGCAAUGCAGCCUGCUGGGACCGAGGACCGCGCUUCGGCUAGGAUGCUGGCGUAAUGGUUGUAAGCGGCCCGUCUUGAAACACGGACCAAGGAGUCUAACAUCUAUGCGAGUGUUUGGGUGUCAAACCCAUACGCGUAAUGAAAGUGAACGGAGGUGAGAACCCUUAAGGGUGCAUCAUCGACCGAUCCUGAUGUCUUC